rnacentral:tRNA from 1 species
UCCCCGGAGGACUAGUGGUUAGGCCACAGCGCUCUCACCACUGUGGCCUCGGUUUGAUUCCCGGCCAGGGCA